AAAUUGAAGAGUUUGAUCAUGGCUCAGAUUGAACGCUGGCGGCAGGCCUAACACAUGCAAGUCGAACGGUAACAGAAAGCAGCUUGCUUCUUUGCUGACGAGUGGCGGACGGGUGAGUAAUGUCUGGGAAACUGCCUGAUGGAGGGGGAUAACUACUGGAAACGGUAGCUAAUACCGCAUAACGUCGCAAGACCAAAGAGGGGGACCUUCGGGCCUCUUGCCAUCGGAUGUGCCCAGAUGGGAUUAGCUAGUAGGUGGGGUAACGGCUCACCUAGGCGACGAUCCCUAGCUGGUCUGAGAGGAUGACCAGCCACACUGGAACUGAGACACGGUCCAGACUCCUACGGGAGGCAGCAGUGGGGAAUAUUGCACAAUGGGCGCAAGCCUGAUGCAGCCAUGCCGCGUGUAUGAAGAAGGCCUUCGGGUUGUAAAGUACUUUCAGCGGGGAGGAAGGGAGUAAAGUUAAUACCUUU
rnacentral:rRNA from 1 species